GCAUUUCUGAUGUGAAAAGAUUCACCAUCACAAACACACAAAACCAUAAAUUAAUUUCCUUUGCAUUUACAGAUGAAAUAGAAAUAAAAAAGAGAAGUGUCACAAAAACAAGAAACAGAAAAUUAAGUGACCUUCGACCCAGAAAACCAGGAAGCCGAUGGAGUAAUCCAUUAGAUUUACCAAACAUGUGAAGACAGAGCUCAAGACAGAGCAACAGCAGGACAGAGAAUAGAGGAGGAUCACAGUGACGGACAUUAGAGAGCAUUUACACACAGAGAAACGAUCAUUCUGUUUAUAUAUUUAUAUAUAUAUAUAUAAAACUAGCCUAGCGUCCUGUCUAGAUUAGUGUUGUUAUCGUCAGUAAUGAGGGUGAACUACAGAUUGGUGGAACUCUGGCGACGAGGAGGAUGUUUGUCUUCGCUGUAGCUUUUGGAGGCGGAAAAUGGAGAGAAUUUGAGCUGCUCAUGUGAUGUGACUGUAUGCAGAUACAGUUAUAGAAGGACGUCGCAUCAUGUCCUGGUCAAUGUCCCAAAAAUACACAGGCUGUUAUUUUAUACUUAUAACAACGCUGAAAUAUUUUCCAUUCAGCAUGGUGUAACAUGUCUCCUCAUACUGACUCACAAACCAGACUUGCUUUUUACCAGAACUUUGCCCUUUUUUGUUGCUUGAUAAAGGGAAGUGAUAGCUCAGAGGUUAAGACGUUGGACUUCUGAUCGGAAGCGUGUGAGUUCAAAUCCCAGCUCAAAUCCCGAGCUGCCACUGUUGGGCCCUUGAGCAAGACCCUGCUAAAUGCUGUACUGUAAUGUAAUGUCAUGAUUGUUCAGCUCAGCUCUUUUCUGAAAAGUGAAA
ensembl:lncRNA